UUUAGAACGUCGUGAGACAGUUCGGUCCCUAUCUGCCGUGGGCGCUGGAGAACUGAGGGGGGCUGCUCCUAGUACGAGAGGWCCGGAGUGGACGCAUCACUGGUGUUCGGGUUGUCAUGCCAAUGGCACUGCCCGGUAGCUAAAUGCGGAAGAGAUAAGUGCUGAAAGCAUCUAAGCACGAAACUUGCCCCGAGAUGAGUUCUCCCUGAGACUUAGAGUCUCCUGAAGGAACGUUGAAGACGACGACGUUGAUAGGCCGGGUGUGUAAGCGCAGCGAUGCGUUGAGCUAACCGGUACUAAUGAACCGUGAGGCUUAACCUUACAACGCCGAAGCUGUU
rnacentral:rRNA from 1 species